rnacentral:rRNA from 1 species
ACCUCUAGCAUUACCAGUAUUAGAGGCAAUGCCUGCCCAGUGACACCAAUUCAACGGCCGCGGUAUUCUGACCGUGCAAAGGUAGCAUAAUCACUUGUUCUCCAAAUAAGGACUCGUAUGAAUGGCCACACGAGGGUUUUACUGUCUCUUACUUCCAAUCAGUGAAAUUGACCUUCCCGUGAAGAGGCGGGAAUAAAAAAAUAAGACGAGAAGACCCUAUGGAGCUUUAAUUAACUAGUCCAAAAGUUAAAUAAUUCAACCACAAAGGGAUAACAUUAAACUUAAUAUGGAUUAGCAAUUUUGGUUGGGGUGACCUCGGAGUACAAGAAACCCUCCGAAUGAUUUUAAUCUAGACAAACCAGUCAAAAUAAUUACAAAUAUCACUUAUUGAUCCAAAAUUUUGAUCAACGGAACAAGUUACCCUAGGGAUAACAGCGCAAUCCUAUUAUAGAGUUCCUAUCGACAAUAGGGUUUACGACCUCGAUGUUGGAUCAGGACAUCCAAAUGGUGCAACCGCUAUUAAA